GACGAACGCUGGCGGCGUGCUUAACACAUGCAAGUCGAGCGGUAAGGCCCUUUCGGGGGUACGACGAGCGGCGAACGGGUGAGUAACACGUGGGUGACCUGCCCUUAGCUCUGGGAUAAGCCUGGGAAACUGGGUCUAAUACCGGAUAUGACUCCAUGACGCAUGUUGUGGGGUGGAAAGCCUUGUGCGGCUAGGGAUGGGCCCGCGGCCUAUCAGCUUGUUGGUGGGGUGAUGGCCACCAAGGCGACGACGGGUAGCCGGCCUGAGAGGGCGACCGGCCACACUGGGACUGAGACACGGCCCAGACUCCUACGGGAGGCAGCAGUGGGGAAUCUUGCGCAAUGGGCGAAAGCCUGACGCAGCGACGCCGCGUGGGGA
rnacentral:rRNA from 1 species